UACGGAGGGUGCAAGCGUUGCUCGGAAUUAUUGGGCGUAAAGAGCUCGUAGGCGGUUUGUCGCGUCUGCCGUGAAAGUCCGGGGCUCAACUCCGGAUCUGCGGUGGGUACGGGCAGACUAGAGUGAUGUAGGGGAGACUGGAAUUCCUGGUGUAGCGGUGAAAUGCGCAGAUAUCAGGAGGAACACCGAUGGCGAAGGCAGGUCUCUGGGCAUUAACUGACGCUGAGGAGCGAAAGCAUGGGGAGCGAACAGG
rnacentral:rRNA from 1 species